UAAUAGCUUGGAAAUCUUAAUAUUUUGGUUAAAAAAAAACUAUAAUCUUCCGAAUUAUGGAAGUUUGUUAGAACUCAGACGAACUUCUUUUGACGAUUCCGUUUCGCAACAAACAGAAAUGCCACAAGUUCAAAAGGAUUCCUCUUUUUUAAAACGAGCUCUUACCUUUAGAAAUCGCAGACACUCAACUUCCUUAAAAGCUCUUUACGGUUUUGAUAAGGAAAUUGCAGAGAAAAUCGAAGCAAAAAGAGAUAAAAUGCUAGAAUGGAAUGUUUUAAAGUGGAUUGAGAAAGUUACUAACGUUGACUUAGG